UCGGACGUGGUGUACGCAACACGGCCUCUGUGUCUUAUGGAGGCAAACCCGGGUUCGAUUCCCGGCGUCCGAA